GUUGCGCGCGGCGGCGCGGGGAGGGCCGAGCGGCCCUCGGGUGCCGGAUCCCCGCUCGCCGGAGGGACGGCCGCGGCCGCACGUUAUAAAUGCUGGUGACAUUCGGACUCCUUUAAAAUCAAAGACAAAGCUCGCUCUGCAGCAAAGCUGAGAGCAUCUCAGAAGGUGAUGGAACAUCAGUUGGGUCCAUGGUCCCGACGCCUGUGGCAGCUCAGAUGGGCUGUCACCACAGCGGAUUCUUCUGUUGUUCUGUCAUUCAGUUUUUUAUUGAGUCUAGAUAAAGAGGAUACACUGGGAAAACAGCUGAUGGUGAGAUUACCUAGAAUUAAUAGAACUGUCUCUUCAGGCAGAGUCCAGAAAGUAUGUUGGAAGAGAGAGAAUAAAGGCCUAAAAUCUGAAAAAGUACAAAGAUAAAGAUGAGAAGAGUCUCUGAGAAGCACAUAUGGCAGUAUUUCUGGGGAAAAGAAGCAGCAAGGGCACCUGUUGUUGGAGGAGCUGGUGAUGAUACUGGAUUAGUGCACAUGCGGUCAGCCCACUUGGCCUCGGCCCUUUGGACCCAAAAUGAACUCCAGCUGCUGUUACCCAGAGCAGGUGCUUCAUCCAGCCUGAGCAGCUGUUUGAAUGCAUGCUGUUGUGGCCAAUAGGCGGGGUGAGUCCUCUGAACUACCAGUGGAAGAGCUGGUCAGCAGGAGGGAAGGGAAAGGCACAGAGCUGGGUUUCUUAUACCCAGCAUUUAGCAAGGGGACAGUAUUCCAGCAUAGCAUGGUGGAAAUGGGAAACAGUGGCUGGUAUUUUGCAUGCAACAUGCCCACAUGACCCAGUGAUGGAUGCUUGUUCCCAAAAUGAGGCUGAGACCUAUAGAAUACCAGCAGGACCCUGACAAAUGCUGGAUCUGUAAGAUGCUGAAUCUCCCUUGUCAGUUACGUGGCCUUGUGUGAGACAUUCAGAGGGCUGCUGGCAUCUAACAGUUACUCAGUGUUUUCAGCCACUGGUUCAAAGCUUUAAAGAGCUGCCAGGCAGAGGUGAGAUAGGCGCAGAGCAGUGUGCAGGGUGAUAUCUGUGACGUGCAACAGCUGAAACCAGCAGCAAGGGAAGAUGACAAAAGCAGAGGGAAAUGGGUUAAGAUGCAGCCACGGGAGUGCAAGGGACUGUGCCAGAUCAGUGGAGGGUGAGGAGACACGGGCGUUCAGAGUUAGGGAAGGCUGGAAGUCAGCAGCCAGAGUUUGAGGAGGGAGUAUAGACAGGUAACACCAAUGAUAGAGCAGUGGUAACCCAGGGAGGGCUAGAGAGAAGGGAGCAGGGCAGGGAUGAAGGUUUCUUUUUUCUACAUUGCAUAUGGUUUCAGUCAGAUCCCAUCAGCCAGGCUUCUCAUUCUUCAUGCCUUUGCUAAUUGCUCAAGCAAGCUCUCAGCGAACCUCCAUAUUUCAUUUUUCAUUACAGUGUGGCGCAAGCCCAGGAGAAAAACAUAAAUAUUUGAGGCCUCUCUUUGUCAGGAAAUGGGAUUUCCGCAGGUGCUCAUUUACAAAUACUGUGCAUGCUUCUGAGGCUUGGCAUAUGGCAUUGCUAAAUCCUGAUUCAGGAUGCAAGAAUGUCUCGUGGCCUCUGCCAUGUAAACUGUUGUCCGCCCAAGUUUGGAAGUCAGCCCUCAGUGAUGGCACUAGACAAGUAUGGGUGAAAUGAGCAGCUUGGCUUCAGCACUGAGCAAGACUUGUUGAACACUGAGGUCCACAACAGGUCUGAAGAGUUGGAAAUGUUGCAUCCUUUCCCUCUUGUCACCUGCUCCCACAUGACUGCAGAGCCUGUGCUGUGCUUUUGGCUCACCCUGCAAAUGCUCCUUGUGAUGGAAGCUUCUGUGAGGCCAUGAUGAUGUGUCAGAGUCCCUGAGUAUCAGUGGAGCCUAGAAGGCCCAGCAGAGCUUCGGAUGAGAGCUGCUGCCAUCUCCCAGGUGCUCACAGUCUCCAGAACAUAUGUAUCCAUGCACUGGGAAGGAGGAGGGCAAAGCAAACCUUCUGGCCUUUCUUUUAGUGAAGGCCGAUGCUUUGCAGUGCUGUUCUCAGGUUUGAAUGCCUUUACAAGCAGUGGUGCAUUGGUGCAAGGUGCUGGAUUAAACAUAGCCUUGCACUUAGCUUGCUCAGUGGUCACUGCUUCAUUGGACUGACUAGCAGAGCUUCUGCAGAUGCUGGGAAAGAAAGAUGCGUGUAAAGCUCUGAAAGCUGGCUCUGUGUGUGGGGGGUAACGGGGAUGCAUGUCACUGCCUGACACGAUAAUGGGGUCAACGGGUCACCUUCAUUUUGUCCUCUGAGUUGGAGGCUGAGGACCAAUGGUUGUUUUGCCAGAUGGAAAUGAGAAUACACCUAUGCUAUAAUAAAAGUGCUGUUUCCUCUCUGGAGGCGUGAGAAGCCUUGCAGAGGGAUCUCAAUUAGAGCAGCGGACAAUCAGCAGUGGCAUAAAACUCAACAAAGGUGAGUGCUGGGUGCUGCACCUGGGGUGGGGCAUAGGACAUAGACAUAGGACAGAUGGGAGACAAGUGAAUGUUGAGCAGCUCAGCAGGAAGGAACCUGGAGUGAGGGGGUGUUAGUAGCAGCAGUCUCAGCAUGAGCUGGAAAUGUGCCCUGGCUGCCAAGAGAGAAAGCUGCUUUUUGGGGUGCACUGAAUACAGUGUAGCUGUCUGGUCAAAAAGUUGAUUAGUUCUCCUGUUGUGUUUAGUGUUUGUGUGGCCUUACCUUGACUACUGUGUUCAUUUCUGGUCUCAACAGUAUAGAAAAUAUAUUAAGAUCCUUGAAGACAUCCCAGUGCAUGUCCUGGGGGGAGAGGCUGAGCACAUGUGGACUGUCUGUGUUGGAGGACACUGAGAGGCGACCUCACUGCUCCCUACAACUUUGCAUUGAGGAGGAACAGAGGGAAUGCCAGACUGUACUUUUGGGGACCGUGGGCUGGAUGCACAGGAGCAGCACAAAGCUGCUCUGAGGAGGCUCAAACCAGGCAUAAACAUUUCCUUACCAUGAGGGUGGUCAAAUGCCCUCACUGUGCUUUAAUUUUUGGUUAGCAGUUGGACCAGAAGACCUUCUGAAGGUCUCUUCCAAUGCAACUAAUCUCUAUUCUAAAUAAUAGAAACUUCUGAGUAUUCCUUAGACUUCACUGAUGCCCAUACUUCACCUGGAAGGAUGCUUGCAGGCUGGCUUCUGAUCCAGCCCAACAUGUCCAUGCCCAAGACAUGAGUACAGCUUGUUUUUGCCCUUGGUAGGUGUGGUGAUGAACAGGAAACCUUUCCAAGGGUGUGGCCUCCAGCAAAUGGUGUUUUGCAUCUUGCUCCAGAAAUACUGCCUGAGUUGUGACAGAAAUGUCACAAAAAUGUCACAGGUAAAAGCUACUGUUUUAAGUGGAUUUGCUGCUUGACUUCAGUCAUUAUACACAGAUGGAGGAAAUCGUUGCUUUCUCUGGUUUUUGGCUGUUGUAUUUUCAGUAACUGAGCCUUGAAAAUGUGCUACUUUGGGGGUGAGGGGACUACUUACUGUCCUCAAAAAGACCCUGCCAGAUGAAAUGUAGCGGUGCAAAGAACUGUUUAGACAACAAAUAGCAUUGAACCAAGAUAUGGUCUUUAAGGUCUUUUCCAACUUGUGCAAUUCUAUGAGUCUACGAUGAUGGUUUUACCUUUGGUCCUCCCUAGGGGCUUUGUACAUGAGCUGGGGACCUGGAUAGCAGAGCUCAAGCGCACACUCUGGAGGUGCACACACCAUGCAGUGCUAGUAGAAGGAGCUUACAACCUCAAGCGAUGGUUGUGACAGCUUAGCAGGUGUUGGGAUUUCAUGGCACCAUGGUUAAGAUGUGCUGGAAGAUGCUGUGAUAAUUAUUAAGGUGUCAAAUAUGUGCUGGAUGCAAUGUCAGAGCAAAGUUGCAGGUUUUGAUGUGAUUUCUCUGUUUUAAAAGGGGGUUGACUGCUUUUGUAGAUGAAAUUUGGUUUUGCUUUGGUGCUGUGUAUGUCCUGUUUGUGGGGUUUGUGUGUAGCCACUGCAGGGCUGUGUGAUGCAUUAACUUCUUUCCUUCAUACCUCCCUGUUCUGUCUUCCUCUGGUCCUGUGCUCUCUGUCUCACUGCCACUGUCCCCUCGGCAGCCCUCUCCCCUGAGCACAUGUGGAAGAGGCUGAGGCACAAGGCUGCUGGCUCCUAUGGCUGCCUGGGUGUGCUGCUUGUCCUCCAGCAGUGGGAAUGGUGUUUACUGUCCCCCAGCAGCUGGCUCUUUGGCGCUGGCAUCCGCACGCUCUAGGCGUGCUCUAACAGAUUUCAUCCAGCUCGCUCCUGACUGGUGCAGUACAUCGUCAUAUCCUCGCUGCAGCUGUCUGGGGAUGAAGAAGCCCCUGUUGGGGUGCCAGCCAGUCUGACUGCUUUGCAACAGGAGACUGCCAGGAUCCCUGGUGGCUUUGCGGAAGACUGGACUUUUGUCGCGUGUCCCAACCCCCCACCACUGUACCGCACAGCAGCAUGGAGCUGAGAGUCCUCAGUGGAUUGGGUAAGGCCCUACCUUGCAAAUGCCUCAUCCAGGCACAUGAGCACUUGUUUUUGCACAGCGUGACCCACGCUGUCAGCCAUAAUCCUGAAACCUAAGGUGCUAGAAGGAAAAAUUGCAUUUGUACAACUUGCCAGUGUUGUGCUGAAACUGGCACAAACUGCAGGAGCGUUCAUAGUACCUGUCAAGAGUUUGGUGAGCAGGAGCUCAGCAGUAGAGGAUGCUGGGUUGGGGUUGUCUUGUCCAGAGAGCAGCAUGAUGGCAGCAUGUCUGCCAAAGCCAGAAGAAAAAAGCCUGUCACUGUCCUGCCAGGGUGUAGACUGCCACUGCUUCCUGGUAAUUUACUUAUGUCAGAGAAAUAAUACUUUUUAAGAAUAGCAAGCAGAAUGUACUCAUGUUCUGUAAAAAGUUUUAUAAUAGCAAUGUUCAUCUGUCAGCUAGCAGGGUGAGCAGUCUGAACACUUCUCAGCCAAGAUCUAUUGACCCUCUGGUUCCUACAACACAGCAGCAGUUGGUGAAAACACAAAGGCACAUCUUUAGGAAACACUUUUGUCAGGAGAGUCAUGGACUCCACUGCUGGUGCAGAAUAAAGACCUUUAUUGCAGGUGCUCACCUUUUAUACCCACACAGUAACUCCUUGGUCACACGUGACCAAGCGCCUUGUGAGUAUUUAAGUCUGGCACAAAUAGCUACCAAGCUUGUUUUUAUUUAUUUGCAAUGUCUUUUGUUCAUAAUCACCCCUUUCUUUAUUAGUUUGAACAACAAGCACUUGGUUGAUCGCCUUAUUAAUAUAAAGAAUAUAUAUCAACAAACAUGCAAAAACAAAAAAAACCACAAUAAUCCACAUCACCUUUCCUUUUUAUACAGCCAGACAUGAGAAAUCUUCCUACAAUGCCAAUCUACUGCACAUGAGCAAAUGUUCACCUUGAAUAUCUGCUUCUGAAUAUCUGCAUGCCAUCAUCUUUUCUCUUAGAAUUUUCUGGAGCAUUGAGCAACUGCUACAACAGCUAAAAGGAAUUUCAGCACAUUGCAGUAUCUCACAGCUGGCCUGCUGAGCUCACGGCUUGCAAUAUGGCACUAGGGAACAAGUAUUCAAAUAAGAGGACAACGUUCUUCUGUAAGAAUUUCCUGGAGAAGACAUGUCCUUCCCUGAAAAGACUCACAGUCACCAACAGGCACAAAAGGAUGGAAGAAUCCCCCAUGGACUCAACACAGCUGCUUCCCAGCACUGCCACAGUGGCAGAGCCGCACUGGCUGGGCAGCUGAGCUUGAGUAGCACAGGGACUCAGUAUGCCAGGCCCACAAACCCUCCCCAUGUCUCACUGAACGAGAUGGGGAAGAAUGCUUUUCCUCCCACCUCCAGCACACAGCUCUGCAAUGCUCUCCUGGGAUGGAAGGCAUUAAAAUACAGGUGUAGAAAGUUUCUUGCCCACCACACAUCACACUCAUCCUAGACACUCACCCUUUUUUUCCUUCUAUCAUUAUUCCUUCUCUAUUUUUUACUUUUGGUCUGGCUUUUUUCUUAAAGACAAAUGCUUGCAGACAGUAAGCACCUUUCUUCCUGCACAUCCUGCUCAGAGUAGAAGUUACAUCCAUGGAGCUCCAACAUGAGACAGCCAUCAGGGAAACAAAGCAUUUCAUGUAGUUUUCAAUGCCUAUUUUCUAAUAAAAUGCACAAAAUACUGGUUACACCCAAUCCCAGGCUUCUUAAUGCAAUUGCAGCAACUGCAUGUUAAAGCAGUACAAAACAAUUAGGAAUACAUGCUAUAGUAUUUAUUUUUCUUAGCUAUUUGAUAAAUGACUGUGCUCUUAAUAUUAAAAGGCUUCUUGUGGAUAGGUUCCUGAAGUCUUUUCUCAGCAGCAACAGUUAGAUUUCAAAAGUCAGACAGCGACAGUAAUUAAGGAAAAAAAAUUGACCCAAUCAUUUUUCUAAUUCAGCAACUAAUUUUGAACCACCGAAAUUUAAGCUGCUUGCGUUCAUCUAGGAAAUACUAUUAGGAGUAGCUGUUCGCUCUCUAAUAGCACUCUGUCUUUAGUUUCUUGUGAAUGAUAAUCCAGGCUGCUUUUGCCUUAGGAACUGGGGGUUAUGUUUCCCACUGACCUUCUACAGGCUUCCAAAAAUAGGGAACCAGGAGAGGGAUGGCUCUGAGUGCCCACAGACUGCACCCGCUUUGCACAGGAAAUGUAGAAGGGGAUUUCAGUUUUCUUCUUCUUUGCUAAGAUGACCACAAAAAACACCAACGCCUGGAGUCAAAUGUGACAUUUUCAGUCAAACACCGUCAUUCAUUUUUGUCUUCCAAAGGAAUCACUUUGAUUUGAUUCCACAAGCACUCAGGAAUGACAUUCGGAACUGUUGACUUAAAGGUUCUUCUUUUUCCAUUUUUAUUUCCUUGAGAUACAAAUAAACUUUUCCUUGUUUUUCUUC